rnacentral:rRNA from 1 species
UACGGGGGGGGCAAGCGUUGUUCGGAAUUACUGGGCGUAAAGGGCUCGUAGGCGGCCCACUAAGUCGGACGUGAAAUCCCUCGGCUUAACCGGGGAACUGCGUCCGAUACUGGAUGGCUUGAGUUCGGGAGAGGGAUGCGGAAUUCCAGGUGUAGCGGUGAAAUGCGUAGAUAUCUGGAGGAACACCGGUGGCGAAGGCGGCAUCCUGGACCGACACUGACGCUGAGGAGCGAAAGCCAGGGGAGCAAACGGG